GCCCGGGUGGACAAACUGGCAAAGUCAGCGGCCUUAAAAGCCGUCGCUCGCAAGAGCCCUGCGGGUUCGAGUCCCGCUCCGGGUA
rnacentral:tRNA from 1 species